GAUGAACGCUGGCGGCGUGCCUAAUACAUGCAAGUCGAGCGAACGGACGAGAAGCUUGCUUCUCUGAUGUUAGCGGCGGACGGGUGAGUAACACGUGGAUAACCUACCUAUAAGACUGGGAUAACUUCGGGAAACCGGAGCUAAUACCGGAUAAUAUUUUGAACCGCAUGGUUCAAAAGUGAAAGACGGUCUUGCUGUCACUUAUAGAUGGAUCCCCGCUGCAUUAGCUAGUUGGUAAGGUAACGGCUUACCAAGGCAACGAUGCAUAGCCGACCUGAGAGGGUGAUAGGCCACACUGGAACUGAGACCCGGUCCAGACUCCUACGGGAGGCAGAAGUAGGGAAUCUUCCGCAAUGGGCGAAAGCCUGACGGAGCAACGCCGCGUGAGUGAUGAAGGUCUUCGGAUCGUAAAACUCUGUUAUUAGGGAAGAACAUAUGUGUAAGUAACUGUGCACAUCUUGACGGUACCUAAUCAGAAAGCCACGGCUAACUACGUG
rnacentral:rRNA from 1 species